rnacentral:lncRNA from 1 species
UAGUUUUUUUUUUUAAAUCGAAAUUGUUUUAGCUCACCAGGCUGAAGGACCAUGUGAGCUAUUGUCAUCACUUUGAUACGACUGUCGUACAAGUGAGAGGUUUAGCGCUAUAAAACCAGGUCAAAUCCACCUUUUUCUACAUAAGAAAAUGCCUGUAACAAGUCAGGAAUAUGACAGUUAUCAAUUUGUUUGAUGUGUUUGGGCUUUAGAUUUUGCCUUUUGAUUAGGGACUUUCCGUUUAGAAUUUUCCUCAGAGUUCAGUACUUUUGUGAUUUUUUUUUUUUUUUGUGUCAGUUGUCUGUACAUCAUUAGAUAACGGGUAAUUUCUAUUUUCAUUGUCUCCUCUGAAAUAACAAGGCUCAUUUGAACCAAAUUUGGCAAUAGUUAAAUGUAAGGUCCUUUGUAUAAAUGAAGGGAUAUGGUAAGAUUGCCAAUGAGACAAUAAAAUGAAGUGGUAGGCCACUGUAUAGCCUUGAACAUAUUGUUGGCUAUAAAAGGCCAGACAUGAAAAUGUAAAACAGUUCAAACAAGCAACCUGAUUUAUGAUAACGAUUUAUGAAAAUAAGGAAGAUGUGGUAUGAGUGCCAAUGACAUAACUCUCCAUCCAAGUAAUAAUUUAUAAAAGUAAACCAUUAUAGGUCAAGGUACUGUCGUCAACACAGAGCCUAGGCUCACACAGAACAGCAAGCUAUAAAGGGCCCCAAAAAUUACUAGUGUAAAACCAUUCAAACGGGAAAACAAAGGUCUAAUCUAUAUAAAUAAAAGAGAAACACUUUAAUAUGAACCACAUAAACAGACGACAAACACUGAACAUCAGAUUCUUGACUUGGGACCUAUAACCUAUAAAUUCAAGCUUUAACUCUCGCCUAACCUUAUCUGUAAACUGAACACCUAAUUACUAACCUUAACACUAGCCUGAACUCUAAUCUGAAUUUCCACUUCGACACACAAGUUAACCAAAGCCAUUAUGAUGUGAAAUGCUAAUCAAGGAAUAUAAGGAACUGUGAUAAAACAUUUUAUCAAUUACAUGAUUCCUAAACGCUUUUCUGGAUUUGCCAUCAUCGAG